UUAGAUGGAGUCUUGCACUGUGUCCCAGGCUGACCUGAAGCUGCCUCUGAGAUCUCGUGCCGAGGUUACAGUUGUGCACUGAGCUCACUUCUGUUUCCUAAAUCCCAGCAUGUCGUACAUGGCGUGCUUCCUCCAUAUCAGUCUUUGAGAUGCUGUGUAGUGAUUAACGUUUCAGUGGAAACACCGCUGUCUGCUUCUCAUCUCCUGGAUCCUUUGUGAACUGGACUGUGGGUGAAUCUUCCAAGUAUUUGUGAGCGUAUCCAGCUGCCGCUGCUGACCUGUGAACUGCUGGUUUCCAGACAAUCCAGACAGGAGUUGUUCCAAAGAACCUUUCUAAACAGAUACAGCAGGAAGGCUGUCAUGUGAACUCACAGUAGCUGUGGCUGCAUGGAUAACACUGGGCACCAUCAAGCCACUGAAAUGCCAGUGUGGCUGAGGGAGAGGGUCAGAAAGCCUCAGCCCUAGCUGACUGCUGAUGGAAGAGGGAGUCAGUUUCCAUUUGGGAUGCGGCACCCGAGAGGCUAUCCAUUCUCCAGUAGGUGGCUCUAGACCGUUCACUUUCAGGCAACACUCUGUGGACUCUGUGGUUUCAAAACAGAACACAAAAGCUAUAAAAUUGGGAGAGAAUAUUGGUGUUUAGGAUAGGCAAAGAUUUGGAGGGGAGAAAGUUGGGGGUGAGUUUGAUCUAACUUUAUCUAUCUAUCUAUCUAUCUAUCUAUCUAUCUAUCCAUCUAU
rnacentral:lncRNA from 1 species